rnacentral:rRNA from 1 species
AAACAUAAGUAACUUAUGAACAACCUUACUCGCCAGAGAACUACAAGCAAUAGCUUAAAACUCAAAGGACUUGGCGGUGCUUUAUAUCCCUCUAGAGGAGCCUGUUCUAUAAUCGAUAAACCCCGAUAAACCUCACCAUCCCUUGCUAAUUCAACCUAUAUACCGCCAUCCUCAGCGAACCCUACUAAGGAAACAAAGUAAGCACAAACAUUCGACAUAAAAACGUUAGGUCAAGGUGUAGUCUAUGAGAUGGGAAGAAAUGGGCUACAUUUUCUAACACCAGAAUUUUCUUCACGGCAACCUUCAUGAAAUAAAAGGCCAAAGGAGGAUUUAGUAGUAGUAAGUUAAGAAUAGAGAGCUUAACUGAAUAGGGCCAAAAAGC